rnacentral:rRNA from 1 species
UACGGGGGGGGCAAGCGUUGUUCGGAAUUACUGGGCGUAAAGGGCUCGUAGGCGGCCAACUAAGUCAGACGUGAAAUCCCUCGGCCUAACCGGGGAACUGCGUCUGAUACUGGAUGGCUUGAAUCCGGGAGAGGGAUGCGGAAUUCCAGGUGUAGCGGUGAAAUGCGUAGAUAUCUGGAGGAACACCGGUGGCGAAGGCGGCAUCCUGGACCGGCAUUGACGCUGAGGAGCGAAAGCCAGGGGAGCAAACGGG